GGUUUAAUUCGAUGAUACGCGAGGAACCGUUACCUGGGCUCGAACGUAAGAUGACUGUAGGUGAAAGCUUACAUCUCUUCGGAGCAUUUUACGAGGUGCUGCAUGGUUGUCGUCAGCUCGUGCCGUGAGGUGUCGGGUUAAGUCCCAUAACGAGCGCAACCCCUACCUUAGUUGCCAUCAGGUUAAGCUGGGGACUCUAAAGGAACUGCCUACGCAAGUAGUGAGGAAGGCGGGGAUGACGUCAAAUCAGCACGGCCCUUACGUCCAGGGCUACACACGUGCUACAAUGGCCGAUACAGAGGGCAGCUACCUGGUGACAGGAUGCAAAUCUCCAAAGUCGGUCUCAGUUCGGAUCGGAGUCUGCAACCCGACUCCGUGAAGUUGGAUUCGCUAGUAAUCGCGCAUCAGCCAUGGCGCGGUGAAUACGUUCCCGGGCCUU
rnacentral:rRNA from 1 species